rnacentral:lncRNA from 1 species
ACAUCACAUACUCAACAAGUGCACCAAGUUGAAGACAAACCAUUUUUGAUAGUGAAAUAUGGAAAAUGGCGAUGAAAUUCAUAACAAUUUAGUAGAAACAACCAACGAUUUAAGCCAAAUCGGAAUAAUAUAAUAGAUUUGUUUGAAGAAAAAACUCGAGAUCGUUACCGAAAGUGCAGGACUCCAAUGCUACAAGUUGAUGUCGCACUUGUCAAUGUUGUUGU